GAUGAAGAACGUAGCGAAAUGCGAUACUUGGUGUGAAUUGCAGAAUCCCGUGAACCAUCGAGUCUUGAACGCAAGUUGCGCCCGAAGCCAUUAGGCCGAGGGCACGCCUGCCUGGGCGUCACACGUCGUUGCCCCCCCAUCUACUCCUUCGGGAUUGCGGGGGGCGGAUGAUGGCCUCCCGUGCGCCUCGUCGCGCGGUUGGCAUAAAUACCAAGUCCUCGGCGACGCACGCCACGACAAUCGGUGGUUGCGAAACCUCGGUUGCCCGUCGUGUGCGGUCGUCGCGCAUCGAGGGCUCGAAAAAAUUGCCGGGCUCCGGCUCGGCUUUCAACGCGACCCCAGGUCAGGCGGGGUUACCCGCUGAAUUUAAGCAUAUCAAUAAGCGGAGGA
rnacentral:misc_RNA from 1 species